CCCGCCGCCCGGCCGACGCCGGUCGGGGACGGGACGAGAUGUGGUUCCGCGGCGUCGUCGCGGGACUGAAUCGCAAG
rnacentral:ncRNA from 1 species